UGAGAAUACAAUAAGUUCUUUAAAUAGAAAAAUGGUAAUUUUCUGAUAAAAAUAAUAAUAGCCAAUGUGUGCCACAAAUUAUGAAUACCGAGUAGCUAAGGUCAUUGUCAUGUUCUAUAUGCUUGCUUAAAGGUCAAAAAGAAAAAUAACUGUCAGCCUAGCUGAAAAGAACUUCCUGGAUGAAAACAUAACUAAGACUUUGCAAACUCCUUAACACUGAGUAGUAGGAUGGUGUCAAAGUUGCUUGAGAUUGAUUGGAUCAGCAGCACUUUGUUGUGGAACUGACGGGCUUUUAAAAAAUAUAUAUUUUUGCCUUAUUGGAAAUGGAGGGAAAACUAAGAAAGUCAGCAAUUAUAAGAUAUAGCAAUGGGCGUUAAAGAAAAAAAUCAAUGAUACUUGUUAAAACAAGACACUUGUAAGAAAUACUUUAUUCUGAAACUUCAUGAUGGGUGUAGGGAGCACUGCAAUGGGGUUUUAGAGUGAGGGAGAGAAAGAUUGAUCUCAACUCUGAAUACGGCACAACCAAGCAGGAAUUUAUAGCCAAGGAGAAGUGUGGCAGUCAGCAGAUGAAAAAUUACGAAGAGGAAACAUCAUGGGUAAGGGGGAUUCUGGUUAAACAGAUCUAACAGGAUUCUUGCUGAAGACAGGCUAGUGUAUUACCCGAGGGGGAUGGUAGAGGAUGAGGAACCUGAUCAGAUAUUGAGGGUGAUCAGAUAUGAAGGGUAGGGGUUCUUGCUAAACUGACUUAGCAGUGUUCUUUGCUAAAACUGGAUUUUACAAGAAAGUGCAUAGACGAGUCUAAGAAAAGUUUCAGAAGCCUGACGAAAGUUGAGCUAAGCAAAAAAUAUUUGUCAUAAACAAAUGCUCGGAGUAGCAUGUCCAUUAAAGCUGUAGGCCAGGAGACCUGAAAAUGCUCUAAAGCCAGUCAGUCUGGCAUCUAUCAAGUUAGUUCCCUGGAAUUAAAAUUUUAGCAGAGGAUUUCUUGAAGAGGCAGUGCAGCAGGGUGAUAAUACCACAGAGUCAUAAUCAGACAGGCUAGGUUCUACUCUUGGCUUUGUAGCAUUUAAGCUACAUGACCACAACCUUGCUACCAUAAACCAGCAACAUUGGCAUUGCCUGGAAGUUUAUUAGAAAUCCCAAAGCUCAGCCAUAGCCCAGACCCACUGAAUCAGAAUCUGCACUUUAAGAAGAUCCUUGAGUAAUUCAUAGGCACAUAUAUAAUAAUGCUGGAUGCACUGCCCAGUUUCUCCUUCAGAACUGAGAAACUAAAUCUCCUAGUGGCUGCUCUUUUCUAGAAAGUACACUUGUCUGGAGAGAGCCGCUUCACCAAAGUCAUGUCCCCUUCUCCAAGGGCAGUAUUCAUCACAUGACUGUCUACGUAGAAGUCCUAGUCCCCUCACCCUACCUGGAACUACUCUGAAGGGUCACUUCAGCUUCAGAAUUCCCAGGGUAUUGAUGAAGGAUAUUGUUAUUACUGCAUUCAGUGUAAGUUCUCUUCCUGUUCAAUGCCACUUCUUUCUCUUCCCUUCUACACAUGUUUAUCCUGAGAGACCUUCUAAGGAAACUCUACACACUAAUAUCCAUCUCUCGAUGUGUUUGCUGGAGAACCCAAUCUGCACCAACACUGACAUUUGAAAAAUCUGAGCCUUCGUCAGGUGAGAUCAAGUUGACCUAUUUAUAUUUAUGAGGCAUCUGUCGCUCCAAAAAUCCUGGAUAAGAAAGAAUGAAUCAGACCAUGGGACACUGGCCAAGACUGAACUAAUUUGCUAUUGCCUUCUUGGGGCCAAGACAAUACGAUCUCUUCCUAGUAAAAGGAGUAAGGAUUUCUUUAAAGAGAAUGGUUGUUUCACCUGUUAAUAAUCCCGGGAUCCAGCGAAGCUCGAAGGAAGAAACUUGACAGUCUUUGGAGUGGGAAAGAAAGGGAAUUCCUCUUCUUUCUGUCCUUGACCCAGAACCUGGAUGAAUCCUAAAGCAGUUACGGUGGAGGGAGUGAUGAUGGCAGCUAGCAGAACUCUACUAUUGCCAAUGGCAAUCCUGUGACUAGGCUGGUUCCAGGACUCAUAGCACAGAGAAGAUCAUGGGAAUGCCACAAAGAAACUUGGUGGUGGACAAAUUUCUGGCAAGUAGGCCAGUGGGUACAUAUGCAAGGCUGAAGAUAUUGUGGUAUAUUCAAAUA
rnacentral:lncRNA from 1 species